AUUGAACGCUGGCGGCAGGCCUAACACAUGCAAGUCGAGCGGUUGACGGGAGCUUGCUCCCUGAUUCAGCGGCGGACGGGUGAGUAAUGCCUAGGAAUCUGCCUAUUAGUGGGGGACAACAUUCCGAAAGGAAUGCUAAUACCGCAUACGCCCUACGGGGGAAAGCAGGGGAUCUUCGGACCUUGCGCUAAUAGAUGAGCCUAAGUCGGAUUAGCUAGUUGGUGGGGUAAAGGCCUACCAAGGCGACGAUCUGUAGCGGGUCUGAGAGGAUGAUCCGCCACACUGGGACUGAGACACGGCCCAGACUCCUACGGGAGGCAGCAGUGGGGAAUAUUGGACAAUGGGCGGAAGCCUGAUCCAGCCAUGCCGCGUGUGUGAAGAAGGCCUUUUGGUUGUAAAGCACUUUAAGCGAGGAGGAGGCUACCUGGAUUAAUACUCUAGGAUAGUGGACGUUACUCGCAGAAUAAGCACCGGCUAACUCUGUGCCAGCCGCCGCCGUAAUAC
rnacentral:rRNA from 1 species